AGGGGGGUAGAAUUCCAGGUGUAGCGGUGAAAUGCGUAGAGAUCUGGAGGAAUACCGGUGGCGAAGGCGGCCCCCUGGACGAAGACUGACGCUCAGGUGCGAAAGCGUGGGGAGCAAACAGGAUUAGAUACCCUGGUAGUCCACGCCGUAAACGAUGUCGACUUGGAGGUUGUGCCCUUGAGGCGUGGCUUCCGGAGCUAACGCGUUAAGUCGACCGCCUGGGGAGUACGGCCGCAAGGUUAAAACUCAAAUGAAUUGACGGGGGCCCGCACAAGCGGUGGAGCAUGUGGUUUAAUUCGAUGCAACGCGAAGAACCUUACCUGGUCUUGACAUCCACGGAAGUUUUCAGAGAUGAGAAUGUGCCUUCGGGAACCGUGAGACAGGUGCUGCAUGGCUGUCGUCAGCUCGUGUUGUGAAAUGUUGGGUUAAGUCCCGCAACGAGCGCAACCCUUAUCCUUUGUUGCCAGCGGUCCGGCCGGGAACUCAAAGGAGACUGCCAGUGAUAAA
rnacentral:rRNA from 1 species